UUUUCACUUAAAUUUAGCUCUUUUGUUCCGUUCGUUCUCUUUUCUUUCUUUUUCUUUUCUUUUGCUUUAAUCUCGCUUACAUUCCACUUCAUUGAAAGAAAAGCAAAGAGGAACCACCAUUCGUCUUCCUUGACCACUCACCUGAUAACUGAUGAAGAAUGAGUUGGAAAUGAAUGAAAGGAACACAAAGGGUAAGGAAUGAAA
rnacentral:ribozyme from 1 species